CAGCCGUAAACAAUGUGCGUUAGGUAUGUCGGUAACCACGUGUUACUGAUGUGCCGAAGAGAAAUCGUGAAACGCACCACCUGGGAAGUACGGUCGCAAGGCUGAAACUUAAAGGAAUUGGCGGGGGAGCACCACAACAGGUGGAGCCUGCGGUUUAAUUGGAUUCAACACCGGAAAACUCACCAGGGGAGACUGUUACAUGAAACCCAGACUAAUGAUCUUGGUUGAUUUUCAGAGAGGAGGUGCAUGGCGUAGUCGUGU
rnacentral:rRNA from 1 species